UCGUCAUCGUCAUUGAAGACAAACAUAAACAAAAUUAGUGUGAAGCAAACGUGAAAAGAGCAAGCUAACCGAAAUCGAAAAGUCGCCAUUGCGUUCGGCUUAAUUACCGCGAGUUUGCUGCUGAUUCCACCAUCUCGUUGGAGGUACACCCGCGAGGUGCCCUGGAGAACGAGACGCUGCUGAUUCCAAGACCGUUACGGGAGGAACGAAAAAGAAGUCGAUUAACCAGGUCAGUAAAUUCCUACACAACAUCCUCGAGCGGGCAAAUCAAGACAAAAUGCUCUCCAUAAACAGUUCCGUAUGAGGCUUCGUGCAGAAUUCCGGGAAGGCUAGGGAGCGGAAGGAUCCGAGAUCGGCAACUAAACGGAACAAGGCAAGAAAGUUCCGUUUCCACGGAGAGCGGACAUCGGAAGAAAUAACUUCCGAUCACUAUUGGCUGCAAGGAACAUUUCCCAGAUCCCCAAAUUGGGGCUUUUAUUGGGAGCUGAAAACCGACGCUGCCUGGAGUCUGUCUUUUCCGGAGCCGAAAGUUGUUUCGUCCGGGAGCCGGAGUCGUGUUUCUUCUGGAAGUUGGUCGAUCAGCUGCUGUCAGUGGUGCCCAAGUCUGCUUCGGUCAUCGGAUGACAUUGAGGUUGCUGUAAAGGAAAAGUAAAUAAGAAAAGAAACAUGUAAGUACUAGCGCUAGUCAGAAGAAAGAAGAAGCUGCAGCGAAGUAAGAAGAAGAAAUAAGAAGCAGGUAAGCAAGAAGAAGAAGCAGCAGUAAAGGAAAAAGAAGAGCAAGAGCGAAAUAGAAGAAGAAGAAGCAGAGUAGAAGCAGAAUGGAAGAAGAAGAGUAGAAGCAGAAUGGAAGAAGAACGGUAGAAGCAGAAUGGAAGAAGAAGAAGGAGAGGAUGAUGAUGAGCGGGAGAAGAAGAAGUAGAUCGAAAGAAAGUAUGCGGUCUGAAAAUUAAGAAAACAAUGAUUGGAAAUAGAAAUAAGCAACAAAUUUGUUUUGGUUUUGUUUUGUGGCGUAGUUUUAUGUAUGUUUUGGUGAUUUGUGUUUCCUCCCCCAUUGCUAGCCGGGAGAGAAGCAAAAGAACUUCAACAUUGGCGCCCAACUAAAAAACCCAUGAUAUUAUGCUACCGCA